ensembl:lncRNA
GGAGUAGACGUGGCAAGCAGAUCUCCCGUUCUGGGUUUCUCUCUGGGUUCUCUCUGCCUUUAUCCACAUUAAAUUCUCAGAGAAGUGUUAAUCUUCUUACAUUGUUGGCGCUCUCAGUGAUAACUUGUUAAUGGCGUAGCAGUUACCUCUGUCUAAACCUUUAAUUUGAAGAUCCUUUUCACUCAAGCGUAAAUUGUACAAACAAAUAACAGUUCUGUGUUGGAGGGAGGGAGGGACUGAAUGUAGUGAUUGCAGCUUUAUUGAGUCUUUGUCCAGGGCUGGAGUCAUAGGGUGCUGGGAAGCAGCUGCAGUCUUGUGAACUGUGCUGGGAUUUGAUGUCUGGUGUGAAAAUACAUUUGUUCUGGGAUAACAGGAGCUAACAUAGGUACUUAUGCAUUUAAAUUGAUAAAAUUGUCGUUGCCAGUAUUGUGCAGUGUGAAAGAGGAGUUGUAUGCUAUUAUGGCAAUGUCAGAAAAUCCAGUUUAAGUGAACUUAGUCUCACAUAGGCCUGGAAGAACUCUUCUGAGAUAUAAAAUCCAAUCUCUCUACUAUUGCAUUGUAUAAUCCCUUUAAUAACUAUUAGAAGUUCAGUCUCAAAGGAAAUUGGGUAUAUUUUCCUUAGCCAGAACAAUGUACUUGCUUGCUGAGUUCUUAGCAGAUCUUGUUUGUCCUACAAGCCCCUCAGAAGAUGAGCAAAUAUUGAUUUGUGAUCACCUUUGUUUUACUACACUGGCUGCUCUGAAAGUAAUGUCUCUCAUUUAUUUCCAUGGAAACUACAACAGAUGCACUCUAUUUGAUAGAGCAGAUUCUCAGAUGCAAUGUACUGUUUUUCAAUAUAGCCACCACCAUUAGCUGUCCUUUACACCAGCAAUGACCAAGAGCCUGUAUGCCAUGCUUGUAAAAAAAUCUGCAUGGCUGCCCCCAACAGGGCUUGUCUUCCCUGUUGCUGAUGCCACCACUGAAACGCACCACCCACCGCCUCACUGUGCUCACAUCCACUGGUUGGUCUCCAUGAAUGUCACUGGGUGCCAUUUUUUCUGUGAGGAACUCAAUGACACACACCUUUGCUUCAUCCACACUUCCAUGUCAUACCCGUUCUCACAGACUGCCCCUCUGCUGCCAUCUCUCAUGUGGCAAUAAACUGUAAUGGAAUAUUGGUGGGAAGAUUUAACUUCUACUGCCAUCCCACCACCAUCCACCUCUGACAUCAUGGAGCGACAUAAUAAAAUAGGAGGCAUUGCUUUGAGAGCAGCUCUUGUACAUUGUAGCUGGGAAAAUGAAUAAUGGCAAUAAAUAAGGUACAUGCAGUGCAAUGCAGUGUAGUGGUUGUCCUCUUGUAUUUACAAUUGAUUAAAGAAAAAAGCCAUCUUCUUGGCAAGCUCAUGGCCUCUGAUGGAUUCAGACUUCACGAUUUUUCUUCAUCAUCAUUAAAUUAGCUUUCUUGGGAUGAGACCUUGUAAAUACAGGAGUCGGUGGCUAUGCCCCAAAAUCAAGCCAUGUUUCUGAGAGUACUGCCCAAACUCUGGCAGCUUUGGGCCUGGGAGCCUAUUCCAGUGCCUGGUGUCCCUCUGGUUAGGAACCUUUCCCUGGUACUCAACCUGACUCUUCCCAGUGCAGAUUUGUGCAGUCUCUUAAUUUACUGGAGCUCAGCUGUUUGUGGCAUCCUGUAAUCCUCUGCCAAUGCAGCCCUUAGCAUUUGCAGUCCUGUAUUUUACUUCACGAUCUGUACUUCUGGAUCUCAGAAAAACUUCCUUGCGUUGAUGUUUUCAUGCGUGUUCCUGUGCCCUGACAUCUAACAGCAGCUUUAUAACGGAUUCAGAACGAUGCUUGGGGAGAAUUAACCUUCAUUCCCAGACAAGCUGAGGAUGCCCUGGCACAUUUCUCAGUCUUAUAAAACCUGAGAACAGGUAAAGGGAGGAAAAAAGAAACUUCCUUGCAUUUCUCUAGCUAGGAAAGGGAUAUUACUUGCAGACCUUUUAGUUCUCUGUCCCCUUCCUCUCACCUCAGUCCUCAUCUUUUCUGUAACUACUGCACUUCUGGCACAAGGGCAGUCGGGGGCUCUGGAGAAAGCAGAAGAGCUCUUAAUUAAAAUGUACUUAAAACCAGCGAAUGAGCAAGGGGCCACCUAUUUCCACUGUGCUGAAAGCAGAAGGGAGGUAUUGAGCCCUAAGAUGCUCUCACUUCCCAAAAUCUCUUCCAGUUUCCAUGCUAGGUAAAGGCUCUUUCUUACAGAUUAUCAGCUAGGCUGAGAAUGGGGGAAAGAACAGAAACCAGGAGAGAGAUGCUGAACUGUCAUACCCCCAGUCUCUGUAAGAAAGCCAAGCAGAGUGAUGUUGUGUAAUAGAACCUCGAAAUCCAGGGCAUCUCCAAGCUCACGUUGUCCCAGAAGUUUGUUGAAUGUUUUGUGUUAACAAACCAAGUCAUUUUGCCUUACAGGAAGCAACCAAAAAUCAUGAGAUGGAUGAAUAAUUGGCAAAGGAUCUCUGUAUGUUUAGCUCAUGGAAAUGAACUUGCAGUAGCAGCCAUACAAAAGUUUUGGUUGUUUUUUUUUUGUUGUUCUUGUUUUUAAAAGUAAUUUGAUCUCAUGCUUUCUGUAGAAUAUUGUAAUAAUUCUCCUGUAAAUACAAUAAAAAUCACAGUUUGCUG